CACAUAUAAGUGAUAUCAUAUGAUGUUUGUCUUUCACUGUCUAAUUCACUUAGUAUGAUAAUCUCUAGGUCCAUCCAUAUUGCUGCAAAUGGCAUUAUGCUAUUGUUUUUAUGGCUAAUACUCCAUUACAUAUAUGUACCACAUCUUCUUUAUCCAUUCCUCUGUUGAUGGACAUAUAGGUUGCUUCCACGUCUUGGCUAUUGUAAAUAGUGCUGCAAUGAACAUAGGGGUGCAUGUAUCCUUUUGAAUUAAUUUUCUCUGGCUAGAUGCCUAGGAGUGGAAUUGCUGGGUCACAUGGUACUUCUAUAUUGAGUUUUUUGAGGAACCUCCGUACUGUUUACAUUAGUGAUUGCACCAAUGUGCGUUCCCUUUUCUCCAUACCCUCUCCAGCAUUUAUUGUUUGUAGACUUUCUGACGAUGGCCAUUCUGGCUAGUUCAAGGUGGUACUCAUAGUAGUUUUGAUUUGCAUUUCUCUAAUAAUUAUCAAUGUUGAAUAUCUUUUCAUCCAUUUUUUUUUUUUUUUUUGCUAUCUGUCAUUCUUCUUUGGAGAAAUGUCUACUUAGAUCUUCUGCCCUUUUUUUGAUUGGGUUGUUUUUUGAUAUCAAAGUGCAUGAGUUGUUAGUAUAUUCUGGAGAUUAAUCCCUUGUCAGUUGCUUCAUUUGCAAAUAUCUUCUCCCAUUCUCCACAGCAUGAGAGGAGCCUACUGGGGAGAGAAUAAAGCACAAUUUCCCAUGCAUGACUGGUUCUAUGUCCUGCCUGGAGCAUGCUGACUGGCCAUCCUUGAAAUUGUAUAAAUGAAAGGAAGUAGGCCCAGGUCGCCGUUUGUAUUAAUAAUUGGUGUGCAUGAAGUAAAUUAAGCCAGCCCACCAGAUCCUUCCUCACGGGGUAGAGAAGCAGGACAAAACUCCAGAAAUAGAGUCUGCUAAAGCUAUCUCUUCAAAGCUUUUGACAAAGGGCAAACCUCAGCUAUUUAUUUUUUUCUUAUUGAAUGGAGACUUCAGGGAGAAGUUUCAGUUCAGUUCACGCACAUGCACACACACACACAUAUGGGUGUGCAUACACACACAGUAUAGGUGUAUGAAGCAUGAACUAGAACAUGAGAAUUAUGCAGCUCUGCCCUUAUUCACAGAGGAAGUCAAGAGACCUGGUUCUGCCAUUAAGACGAGGGAGGAUUUUUCACCGUCAAAGGGCAGGUGUGUUGCAGUUCCGGGUUCCUUAAGCUCCUGUGUCUAUUCCCACAUGCAUUAUCUAUACUGCAAUGGCAUCUGGCCCCCUUGUUUGUACAGUCAUGUCAUACUGUAGGCAGGCACAGUAAAAGGCAGUCCCAACUGGAAGAGAGAGCUCAAGUAGUUCAACUGAACCAUGAUUCGUUUCUAAAUUUCUGAAGGAAACAACACAUUUGAAAAAAUCUUUUUGCUUUGUGCCUAGAGAAAAAGUUUUCACCUGCCUGUUUCCUGGUGUAGACAUUUCUCAGUUCCCAUUUCUAAGUUCUUUUCAACACCUCCCAUUCAUGAAGAGACCAUAGUAGUAAAGAAUACUUACUUAUGAGAAAUACUAAACCCAUUCGAUGACAUAGAAUCAUGUUUUCUUCUAACCUUUGUUGGAAAAAAAAAAAACAAACAAACCCUAUUUUUUUUUUUUUGCAGAAACAUCCUUUACAGCAACCAUACAUCUCAUUCACUCUCAUGUCAUUCCAUAAAAAAUUGGUAUUCUUUCACUUGCACAAAUAUUAACCUUGUUUAAAUAAGAUUUGAAUUCCAAAGAGCAAGAAAAAUCAAAGUUUAUAAAUAAUCCUAAUUAUUCAAAUACUUCAAUAGUGAGUAGAUGCUCAAACUCUCUCUUAACCCAAUUUUCAUUUAAAUUAAAACACAAGCAGUUAAAUAUUAACAAGGUUUUGGGAGUUCCCGUCGUGGCUCAGUGUUUAACAAAUCCAACUAGGAACCAUGAGGUUUCGGGUUCGAUCCCUGGCCUCACUCAGUGGGUGAAGGAUCCGGUGUUGCCGUGAGCUGUGGUGUAGGUCACAGAUGUGGCUUGGAUCCUAAGUUGCUGUGGCUCUGGCAAAGGCCGGCAGCUACAGCUCCGAUUAGACCCCUAGCCUGGGAACCUCAAUAUGCCGAGGGAGCGGCCCUAGAAAAUACAAUAAAAAAAAAAUCUUAUUUCUCUUAAGAAACCAUAAUCUCCAUGUGCAGAAACAGAACACACAUGGCUAAUUCAUCUUGAAUGUCAUUCAAGAAAUACAUUUGAUGUUGGUUUGUGCCAUUAGAACACAAUAAACUGUGAAAAGUGUCUGCUGGAAAAUUAGUUGGCUGUGUAGAUCAGCAAGAGAUGAAUCUUUGUAACAUAUGUGACAUGGCUUUGACAAAUCGGACUUUUAAAUAUACGAAGCAUUUUAAAAAAAGACAACUCCCAAAAGACACUUCCUUAGUAAUGAAUUAAUUUAGAUAGAACAUAAUGUAUACCACUAUUCAUAAGCCCAUUUUCAUCACAGCAGACUAGUUCUGUGUCAGUGUGACAAAGCCUUCCUUCAAAUCCCUGUUUGGGAUUAAUAUUCUGUAACUUUCAUAUUUUAUGCGCUCUCUAACUUCCCAUAAUUUGAAGAUAAAAAUCUCAGGAAAAGAUAUUUCUUCUAAAAAUAUAUUUUUUUUCUACCUAACAGAAAAGUUUGAGUUACAAGAUAUUCUGAAUGAAGAGUCAUUAUCUUGGUCAUUUGCUACAGAUGACUUAUUUCCAAAUGUGUUAGAAAUUAAAAGUCUAGAAAUGCCAAAUAUUAGAACUUCAAUACUUCACUAUGGGUUUUUAGUAUCCUAUCCAUAUAUAUUUGGAUGUUAGACUAGGAGCUAGUUUUAUGUAAGUACACGCAUUCACUUCCUGGGCUUCAUAUGAUGCCCUUGGUGGAUAAAGCCAAACAUUCAAAUAGCUUUAGUUAUAGUCUAAAAGUAAGAUGUUUGAAGAUCUAUAAUUUAGGAUACUAUCUGAAUACUGUUCUUGGUAUCCUAAGGUGUUUAAAAGGCUAGCCAGCAUAGAGCGAGAUACAGUGGGAACAAAUAUGAAACAGAAGAGAUGUCAUUUUCUAAGAAAUUUUUCACACUGAUUUUAUUAGUAAUCCACAUGCUGACAGUGAGCAAAGCAGCAUAGAGCAAGGGAAUAUUUCACACCUGAAAUAAUGCUGACUUUCAGCCCCCAAACAAGAAACAUUCUAAUAUAAACUGUCUCCUUUGGAGUUUCCAUUCUGAUGUAGUGGCUUAAGGAUCCAGCAUUGUCACUGUAGCUGCUGGGUCACAGCUGUGGUGCAGGUUGGAUCCCUGGUCUGGGAAUUUCACAUGCCGCAGGUGCAGCCAAAACACUAAAUAAAUAAAUAAACCACCCCCUGUUUUGACUGUUAUUAAAACUCUUCACAAAAGAAAUUCUUAUAUUGUCUACAGAGUCUAAUUUGCUGACAAUAUAAGAAGAAUAUUAUAAAUCACUGAAAGUGCUAGAGUAGGUCACAUCUUGGUAUUCAUUAUACUUUACCACAAUAGAUUGAGAAACUACUACUGCAGAGAUAUGAUUUGGAUCAAUUUCCAGGGAUAAUUUCACGAAUGAAAGCUUUCUAUUUAAUUUGCUUUUAACAGAACACAAGCCUAGAAAAUGAUCCAGGUGCUCUAGUUAUUAGAGUUUUUAGAAAGUAUUGGAAGUUACAGAAAUGAAUAGGAAUGAAAGAAAUGACCUACUCUUUAAUGAUACUUUUUAAUGACAAAAUAAAAGCUUUCCCUCCUCACAAUGACGAAUAAGAGGCGGUUUCCCAAUCCAAAUUCAUUUGCCUUGUGGCUUUGAUUAAAUAUAGGCACAUAGGAAACAUUGUAUUAUAGGAAUAUAUAAUUUCUGUAGUGAGUUUCUUACAAGUUAUGAUAUUUGAUACAAGGUCAAGGAUUUUUCAUUUUGUUCAAAAUGUUCCAACGAUCUGAAAUUGCCAUCAGUUUGUUACGCUCUUCAAAAUCUCUCCUCCUAACCUCUGUUAACAUCACCAAACUAAAACUAAAAACAAGGAUUUUUUUUUCCCCCUUCUAAACUGGCGGGUUAAUGCCUCUGGGAAAAUAACAUUCUUAACAAAUAAAACCCAGGGGAUCUAGUCAGGCGAAGAAAUAAAUCCUCAUCUUUCACACAACUUUCAAACUGUUCAACAGCACAAGAAUUCAAAAAUAGUUUCUUUUCAACUCAUGCCAUAUAAGGCACUAAGUAAGUUUGGAUGUAAUGGCAAUGCCAGAUCAACUUUCCAGACGUGAAGAUUCAAUGGUUAGAGGCUUAACUUUAAUAUGCAAAGUAGAGGGUUGGAUGGAGAUGGAGGUGGGAGGGCAUCAGGAAUAAAUAAUCCAUACAACUGGAAAGUGGACGUUUAGGUCAUUUCCUAUCUGAGGCUAUAGAGGGCAUAUUGGAUAAUGGUCAGACUACCUGAAGAGAAACCACAAGCUGAUUAGUUCCACUCCAAGGGAUGGUUUUUAAAAACCGGUUCUUAUUCUUUUACCAUUGAUUGGAAGUCUAAAUGAAAGGCUACAUAUGGUGAAAGAUAUAUAUAUAUAUAUUCAGCCAUUACAACAGAAGGGCAAUAAAUUAUCCAGGGUGCCUGCCGAGAACCCUCUAAUCCACACUUUCAAUUUUCAUUCUCACCUGUGAAAAAGUCUGAAACUGUAUGCCAAUUGGUUGUUAAUAAUGCACCCUGGGAGGGAACAAGUGGAAAUUGUUCCCUAAACUGCAAAUCAAGAGACAAAGUAUGUGUGUCUACUACUGUUGAAUGAAAUGCUAUAUCAGAACAAAAGACCGUGUCUGCGGUACAGGACGAAAGUAUGCUUUCAUGUGUCCUCUAGAAUCCAUGGCUCUGAGCAGCACAAAGCUCUGGGGCGCUUAUAUUUCUACUCCCAGAAGAAUAUCCUAACAGAGAUGUAGCUAACGGAAGCCUCCAAAAGGAAGUUUGUGAUAUGAAAUUUAAAAUAAUUGUUUUUAAAUUUGUAGUUUCCAGAUUGGGUUUCUGCUGUGCCUGCCAAACAUUCUCCUUCAUUUUCUGUGGGUUAGCUGCACAAAUGUGGCUUUCAUUUGUUUAUUAAUAGAAAGAAGUGGUGACUCAGCCGCUUUGUACAGAUGCCUCAGUUUUCCUAGGGCUGCUCUCCAGCCACAAAAGACUGUAAAACGUGACCAGUCAAAAGCCAGGAGGAAGGCUGAGCACAGGGGGGGCUGGGAUGAUGAAGAGCAAGCCCGCUGCCUCUCUGGUUUGGUCUGCAGUGUCUCCCUUGAACCUCCUGACUCCUGCUCACCUCGGUCCCCAGCCAGCUCAUGCUGCUCCAUGAUCAUCUUUUUCCUCAAUCUGCGUGUGGGCUCUGGGCAGCAGAAAUGCUAUCAC
rnacentral:lncRNA from 1 species